CAGUCGCCGCGGGAAUACGGAGGGUGCAAGCGUUAAUCGGAAUUACUGGGCGUAAAGCGUGCGCAGGCGGCUAUGCAAGACAGAUGUGAAACCCCCGGGCUCAACCUGGGAACUGCAUUUGUGACUGCAUGGCUAGAGUACGGUAGAGGGGGAUAGAAUUCCGCGUGUAGCAGUGAAAUGCGUAGAUAUGCGGAGGAACACCGAUGGCGAAGGCAAUCCCCUGGACCUGUACUGACGCUCAUGCACGAAAGCGUGGGGAGCAAACAGGAUUAGAUACCCCUGUAGUCCCUGUCUCUUAUAC
rnacentral:rRNA from 1 species